CCACGCUCGGCUCGACCAGCAGAACAACCAGAAGGGUCAAACCCUAGCCGCCAAACCUUCUCGUCCCGAGCCUCGCGUCCCCUUCGCCUCGCGUCCCCUUCGCCUCGUCUCCUCCCCGCUCCAUCCUCUCCCACGCCGCCGCCCCCUCUCCCCGCUUGCCUCAGCCGCCUCCUCUCCUCCCCGUGCCGCCGGCCCCCUCCUUUCUCCCUGUGCCGCCGGCCACCUCCAUUCUCCCCGUGCUGGAGCAGAGAUGCCUCAGUAGGGGCAGAACACCGGGGCUUUAUCUCCCCUUGUCUAGCACCGGCCAGUGAACAAGACGGAGGGUAGCCAAGGGCGCCUCAAACGGCGGCUGCUCUUCUCCGGCUUGGACCAGAACCCUGGCGUCUGGGUAAGUGCAGAGGAGCGAGCAGAGCAGAUGGUGCAGCCGGCCUCCUCCUCUCUCUCCCUCCCCUUGCUCUCACUCGCUUCAGCACCCUCCUCGCCGUUGGCUGCAUACCCAGAUAAUUGAUGAAAAAACUUUGAUAAAGAAAUAUCGGCGUCGUCUCAUCGUCUUCAUCGAUAUGAGCAUCUCUAUCGGACCACACGUCCAUGCCUCCCCAUCUACCGUGCUGGAGUAGCCGCCUCCGGGUUGAGGUAUCGCACUGCCACCGCUGCCGCUGCCUGGGUCCCUCCUCUUGCUCCUGCCGAGGUCACAUGUUCGUCGAGGCAUCAAGACACCUUGGUUUUCUUUUCUUUUUUCCUAUUUCUGUUCUUCCACUUGUUUCUUCUCCCUGGACCUCCCUGUCCGCUGAAAUUGCAGGCUGAGGUGAGCACCAUGAGGAAGAGGAGGUCAGUGGCUGAUAUAGAGAGCUCCUCGACCGGGGAAGUUGCAGUUCUGGAGGAACUCGAAGAUGUCAUUUUUCAGUUUUGAUGGGAAUCACUACAAAUAGUUAUGGUCAUGAAUGUAAGAGUUUUCUGAAUUUUACCUCUCAUUUACAGUUUUGAUGGGAAUUGCUACAACAACAAUUAGAAGAAACUGCAUUGCAGGUUCAGAACCAAUUUCUAGGGGAUUAUGGCAAGGAGCAGUGGUCGUUCGGGUUCUAGGGGAACGACAUGCACAGGUUAACUCCGCAAUUCAGAAAUUCAGUCUUCGUAUUGACAUCCGAGACGAAGAGAAGUGCUGUAGAGACGCGUUUUAUUUCAAAGUUACGAUACUUAUAAAGUAAGCCAUGCUUUGUCAACCGAAUAUGUGUAUGUAUGUAUAUGCAAUAAAGGCGAAGAACAGAGUCUUUACUUCUCUUCCAACGGAUCUCCUAGCGAAAUGAAGAUAUGGAUAGGUGCUACUGAAGUAGCCAACAUAUACUUAGUAUGGAGGAGAGGGCGUGGGUGUACAUAAUAGGGAAGCAAGUGAGAUCCCAAGAAAAUACGCAUACAAGUAUAUCGCAAGUUUAAUGCUAUAUUAUUCUUAAAUGAAAAUUACACUAGGUUGACUUUUAAUAUACAUGGAGCAUCCUUUUUUCAACAGUCUAAUUACUCCAUGUAAUUACUGCAUCCAUUUUGGUAUGUGAUACUGCAAGUGUAAAUUCAGGAAAAAAACUAUGUUGUUUAGUGUGAGCUGCAAAUUUAGUUUUUGUUGGUGGAUUUCCUCAACCAUAUUUUCGCUGCAUAGAGUGGACUUGGUAGGAGUCUAUUAUUCAGCUCUAUUCUAUGUUUGGAGAGCACUCUCUUUUUCCCUUUUGUAGGAAAAUAUUUUAUAGAGAACUCUGCACUAACCCAUGAUUAGUAACUGUGAUAUAUGAUCAUUAUCCAAUGACAAAACUGUUAGAGAAACCUUCAUUUUGAAAAGGAAUCAUGACCUCAUAUAUAAUUUUUACAUUCCAUCUUCUAUUUCAAGUAAAUCCUUGCCCAACAUGCUAUUUACCACAUAUACGUACUUCUUUAGCCUGCACAAUUGACGGACCUGCUACAGUUCAGUAGGAAAUUCAGUUCAGUAGGAAAUUUCAGGGAUGGACCAAGGAAAAAAGAUGCUGAUGGAGUGCCCUGUAUUGCUACCUGAUUUUCGGUGAACUUUCAAAUUAGUUCUGCGCUGUCCUUCAACAACUGCUUUGUAUAAUCCAGAAGAAUUGGUAUCUGCAUAGGCAAUUGGUAGCGCAGUGCGCUUGCUUAGGCCAUCUAACAUAUGGGCAGAGAUAGAGUUUAGGCACCCGGAUAAGGGGAUAUAGAGAUUGUAGGCCAAUAUCUCAUUAGCUGUACAAUAUGAAAUAACUUAAGUGGCAAUAUCAAAUGUUCUUCUCUUUUCAUAGACAAAAGGGAUAAUGUGUUUUACUAUAUGUAUAAAUUGACAUGCCAUAGAUAUUUAUGGUACGAUGCCUUUCCCACACAUUCAAUGGACAGUCCACUUCCAUAUUUAUGUCUUCUUACACCCAGAAUAUGUCUCUCUUUUAAGUAUUGACUGAAACAUUAGCAAUAAAAUUAUUAGAAGAGUUUAUUCUUGCCUACAUCGAAGCACUAUAAUGUCUACCAUUCAGUUACAGUUUAAAGUUCAUAUAUCGUAAUAGUAUUAUAGGCUGUCUUUAUAUUUUUAUCAAUUGAUGCUUUCUUAUUAGAUUUUUUUCAAGCUGGCUUCCUUCUCAACAUCCUAUACUAAUAUAGGUUAUUGGAUAAAGUUCUGUACUGAUAGUACAAAACUUUGUGGUCGCCCAGGCUAUUCAGCCUUUAAUCAUAUUUAACAUCGUCAGGUAAGUAACGAUGUCAUGAUCAGAAGUCAUUGGCUAUGUGCUAUAUAUAUGCGCAUAAUUUCAUAAACUACAUUGCGCAUUCGAUUGUUUUCAGGAACAAUAGAUUUUCUUAAUUUUUUAACUCAAUGUGAAAAUGAACAUUGAUGUUUUUUGUCCCUCGAAGGAGACGAGGUUUAAUAUUUUCUUACAUGACCAGGAACAUUAGGAGAUGUUCAAAUGAGUAGUGAAAGAAGAAGAGUUAUUUGCAAAGAUGGUAGCUUUCUUUUCUGUACAAAGAUGAUGGCUAUACCCACAAUAUUGCUCUUGUUACCUUCUUUUGAUGUAGACCUUAGCUCAUUUUCUUAGCAACAAAAAUUCUGAAUUUAUUGUGCGCACAUGCUUAUUUGGCCAAUCAGGAUAAUAAUAAUUUUGCGGUUUUGUACAAGUUUUAUUAGUUAAUUGUUUUCAAAAUUAGAAUCUUGCUGAUUAACCUAUCUGCAUUUUGUAGUAAAGUAGCUACCUACACGAGGUAGGUCCAUUAACUCUUUUGUAGAACCAGAUUGUUGGUAUUUCCUCAGAAGUAAAAAUGUUACCUUUUCCUUUACUCGCUUACUUGAAACCAGACUAUUAGGUACCCACCUUCCAAGAUAUAUAAACAAUCACGUCAGGCUAUUCUUUGGUUGUUGAUCAAACAACCAACACUCUGGUGUAUAGGGUCUCUGGAUAAACAAGCUCGAGGAGGCCGUUGUUUGGUGCAGCCCACGACAACAACUACACCAUUGACCACUGAAGCAAGGUCCUUGUAUGGUCACUGAAGAAAUCAUCUUUCCUCCGACCGAAGGGCACUUUUCUUGAAUCUUAGCUGGUGUCUGUUGUAAUUUACUAUCAUCCCUAAGACAAACUUGAUUCUGUGUUGCCGUUCUUUAUCUCUAUUGUUUAAUCCAAAUUACUACUGUGACAUGAUAACAUAUAUGAUGCAAUGGACAAUAUUCCUAAGAACUGCACGGACACAGUGCUUUAUCA